CGUCAGUAUGAAAGUACCGUAAGCUUCACUGCGAUGGAGGAAUUUCUAUACGAUGGGAGCUGCUCGUUUCUCUUGGUAAUUCUUUCCUGUCCGGGUAACUUCUUUACUGAGAUGUCCUUGUAAGGGGGGAUAGCUCUCACCCCCGUGCCUGUUCAUACAGGUGAAGGUGAUCCUUCUGGAGCAGCAAAGAAUAAGCAGAUGUGGAGUGACUGGAGCUUUUCAUUCGGGGCUGUCCAAGAGCUGUGGGAACACUGUUUUCCCGUAUUAAAUAUUUGUGAUCCCUGUUUUGAAAACAAACAAGCAAAAACCCCACCCCAAAACAAAGGCACGGAGCUAAAUCCUAGGACCUUCCUUGUUCUGUGUGCCUGCUUCACCAGAACUUAAAUCGCAGCCGUCAAUGAAUGAAGUGACAUGGGUGAACUCCCCAUUGCUUUUCACGCUGGGUACUUUGUCUGGAUAGCGCUGCUGGGACAAAGCAAAGGAAGCUGUCUCGCAAAGCCGCUGCUCACGGGGCAGUUGGUGCAGAUGCUGAACGCUGCCUGCACUCUGCCUGGGGGCACGGAGCAGGGCCUGGUUCGGGGUGGUACCGGGUGACCCGAGCAUCCAGCGUGUGGGGCAGGCGUGGGGCUUGUUCCCUGGAGAGAUGGCUGUGGAUGGACACAAAUGAGGGACACCGAGAGCCAACACCAGAAGAAAAUCCCUGAUGCAAACCUGUGGAGGAAUUAGAAGAGCUCCAGGGAGAAAAGAAACAGUUGUGGAUCCAUGGAGAGACCCCGGCGUGGGGCACAGCUGCGGGAUGUGUGCCCGGCCCUGCUGCUGCUCGCAGGUGGGAGUUGGGGUUUGGAGCCGUGCUGAAGAGCGGGGAGCUGUCCCUAUGGGGCACGGCUCUGCCGUGGGGCAUGUGGGGACAUGGGCGCACGCAGCACCAGCCCUCUGCCCUCCUGUACAGCCUCAGCCCCACUCGGUGCUCGGGAUGGGAGGGCGGCCAGGAGAGGUUUCCAGCAGAGCUCCCGGCUAUGCCCAACCCCUGCCUCCUUCCUCCCUCCUCUUCCUCACCCCCGAGCCCUCCGCUCCUGUUCCUGCGCUUUGAUCUCCUCCGGAAAGCCCCUUCCUCGCACCGAGCUGCGCGGAGCCUUAUUAAAAUAGAUGAAGAGCCGCCUUUGAUCCGCCGCGCCGCUCCGAAGACCUUUCCCCACCGCGAGGCUUCAAGCGGAGCCGUCCGCCUUUCAUCCCCGCACCGCGCGGAGCUGCUGCCCGGCCCCGGCGUGGGCGGCGGGACCCGGUGCCGUCCGAGCGGGGCUGUGCCACGGGAGCGGCACCGGGGGACGUGGGGACGUUGCCAGAACGCUGGGGAUGGCGGAAAGGCAACGGGAAGGUGAAGAUAAAAACAGUGCCGGGGAGAAAAAGAGAGAGGAAGAGAGGGUAGCAGCCCCCCUGGGCAAAGAGAGCUUGUUAGACCUUUAGAACGACGUGUCUGGAUUUGAUAAAACGUGAAUAAUUCAUCCUCCCCCGCGUGGUUUGGGCGCGGUGGGUUUCUGCGAGCGCGGAGCAAUGGGGGAGAUCCUACGUGGGGAUGGGGGGAUCGGGGGGGCAGGGAUGGAGCGAUGUGCGUGGAAGUGCAGGGAUGGGGACGUGGGGCUGCACCUGGCUCCUGCCCGCCCCUUCCCUCUCCCCCUCCCCCACCUCCAUCUCCACCGCGUGUGCCACUGCUCUCUGCACAAAUAUUUGCCCAACUGGUUAAAACGAAGCGGAUCCUCUCAUUCCAGCUGGCUAGCUGGCAGGCAGGCGGCCGGCACCCCGUGGCUGUGGCACACGGACGCGUGGCUGCUGCUGUCCCAGCAGGGACCGGGGAGCCCCGAGCCCCCUCCCCGCCCGGCGCGAUGCCCCCCCGCGUGCCCCAGCCCUGAGCACGGGCCCUUAACAGGACGUGAUUCACACGCGGCGCUUAAUUAGCAAUUCAGUUAACGGUUUGUAAUUCAGGCACGACCCUGAUUGCAUCCGAAUGCUACUUUAUUUCUUCUCUGCCGCUUGCAUUCUGAGCACUAAUUAUGCCUCUUUGGAUGCUAAUUGCUUCCCAGCCCUCUGCCGCUGUCUUUCCCGAGCAACAUUUAUUUUUCAUGCGUCCAUGUGUUUAAACUAAUAAAAGCCGGAGGGGAGGAGGAGGAGGGAGCAGCAGCAGCGGUCGAAGCUUCGCCGAGAUCAAACAUCCCGGGAAGGUGAGCGGGGACGCGCUGCCAUGAGCAUCGCGUUGGCUCCUGCAGCCCCGCUCCCUGCUCCUGGGACAGGGAUGCUUCGCACACCGGGAUGCUUUGCACAGGAGGAUGCUGUGCUGUAAGAGAUGCUUUCCCCGUCCUGGGCUGGCUGCUCCCUGCAGCGUUCAGGCCCCACCGGCCCGGAUGCAACACCCGUGUGAAAUGUUUGCUCUGGGCUGGGGUGGCCGUGGGCACGGGGCUCCUCUCCGCGGGGUCUGGCGGCCGGAGGUGCCCACCCUGAGGUGUCGGAAGAGCCGGAGCCUUGGCGAUGUCCCUCUCCGUGGGGACGGGGCCGGGGCCAGGCAGACGGCGGGAUGGCAUCCCCGUUGCGUGGCAGAAGACUGGGGAUGAGAUGACAGCGCCGAGCCAAGGCAGCAGCUGGGAGUGCUGAUGAUCAGCUGCUGUGCUCGGAUGGGGACAGGGAGAGAGCAGAGGGGGCAGCGCGGGGACAUCGCAGCCCGCGGCCCCCGGGGGUUGCGCUCCUGGAACGCGCAGGGCGGUGGCAGCUGUGGUGAGAUGCUGAUGAGGCACCCGGGUGGGUGCUGAGCACUCUGAAAUCAUCACACCUGUGUCGGGAGGCUGCAGAGCCAGCUGAGGGCACGGCAAAGCUGCGGUGGGCUCGCAGCUCCCUGCUCUGCGGGGCCCUGAGGGGAGCAGCGCCGAGGGGACCCCCUCUGUCCGGGGAGCGGUGCGGGGAGGGAGCGAGCUGAGCCCCCCAGCACCGCACAGCAGCAGA